rnacentral:lncRNA from 1 species
GGUUAAAGCAAUUCCCCUGCCUCAGUCUCCUGAGUAGCUGGGACUACAGGCGUACGCCACCACGCCUGGCUAAUUUUUGUAUUUUUAGUAGACACAGAGUUUCGCCAUGAGGGCCAGGUUGGUCUGUAACUCUUGACCUCAAGUGAUCCGCCUGCCUCAGCCUCCCAAAGCACUGGGAGUGUGAUGACUAGGUUUUCACGUGUGAGAUAUGCCUCACUCACACCUUGUUACAACACUGGCACAUUGCCUGUCGGAUGUGAACAAAGACAAAAAAAGACCCUCACGCUCAUAAGGGUGGAACUUGCUGUGACAGAGUUCAUCUUGGCAGUGCUUGCUGAACACUUCCUGAAUCUGGACUUCACUCAUUGUGAGUCUCACAGAGAGAGGUUCUUCAGCUGUGUGCAGAACUGAGGAGAAGGCCUGGAGACAAUGCCAACACCGGGAGACCGCGUGGCACCAGCCUCACGCAUGGAGCCGCCGUGGCUGCCCCGGGAUGAUGAUUUAAGUUUCCCCUCGCCCAUCACUAUAUGCUUCUAUGAAAUGUUUUAAAUUAUUUUUAUUCCUUCAGCAUAAUUAUCAAAUACAUCUUUUAUCUAUUUUUUUCCUUAUGACUUACAGAUUCUGAGAGCUCAGAGCUAUUUCCACUGCCUCACUUCUCAUCCUCACUGCUUCUAGUUUUAAAAUUAGGUCCUGGGUUGCUACCCCCGCUGAGGUUCUCACAAUAAUUAAAGCCUAUUUG